rnacentral:rRNA from 1 species
AGUGAACGCUGGCGGUAGGCCUAACACAUGCAAGUCGAACGGCAGCACAGUAAGAGCUUGCUCUUACGGGUGGCGAGUGGCGGACGGGUGAGGAAUACGUCGGAAUCUACUUUUUCGUGGGGGAUAACGUAGGGAAACUUACGCUAAUACCGCAUACGACCUACGGGUGAAAGCAGGGGAUCUUCGGACCUUGCGCGAUUGAAUGAGCCGAUGUCGGAUUAGCUAGUUGGCGGGGUAAAGGCCCACCAAGGCGACGAUCCGUAGCUGGUCUGAGAGGAUGAUCAGCCACACUGGAACUGAGACACGGUCCAGACUCCUACGGGAGGCAGCAGUGGGGAAUAUUGGACACUGGGCGCAAGCCUGAUCCAGCCAUACCGCGUGGGUGAAGAAGGCCUUCGGGUUGUAAAGCCCUUUUGUUGGGAAAGAAAAGCAGCAGGUUAAUACCCCGCUGUUCUGACGGUACCCAAAGAAUAAGCACCGGCUAACUUCGU